rnacentral:rRNA from 1 species
GUCCACGCCGUAAACGAUGCUCACUGGUUCUGUGCGAUAUAUUGUACGGGAUUAAGCGAAAGUAUUAAGUGAGCCACCUGGGGAGUACGUCGGCAACGAUGAAACUCAAAGGAAUUGACGGGGGCCCGCACAAGCGGAGGAACAUGUGGUUUAAUUCGAUGAUACGCGAGGAACCUUACCUGGGUUUAAAUGGGAAAUGUCGUAUUUGGAAACAGAUAUUCUCUUCGGAGCGUUUUCUAAGGUGCUGCAUGGUUGUCGU